rnacentral:rRNA from 1 species
GCAGUUGUCGAGGUGCUGCAUGGCUGUCGUCAGCUCGUGUCGUGAGAUGUUGGGUUAAGUCCCGCAACGAGCGCAACCCUUGUCCGCUGUUGCCAUCACGUUAUGGUGGGCACUCUGCGGAGACUGCCGGUGAUAAACCGGAGGAAGGUGGGGAUGACGUCAAGUCAGCAUGGCCUUUAUGUCUGGGGCUACACACGUGCUACAAUGGCCGAUACAAACCGUCGCGAUACCGCAAGGUGGAGCUAAUCGGAGAAAGUCGGUCUCAGUUCGGAUUGCAGGCUGCAACUCGCCUGCAUGAAGUUGGAAUCGCUAGUAAUCGCGGAUCAGCACGCCGCGGUGAAUACGUUCCCGGGCCUUGUA